rnacentral:rRNA from 1 species
AAUACCCUAUUAUUUUAAAAGUAAAUAAUUAAACCUAAUUAGUAAAAGUUAAGUUCUUGAAAAUUAAAGAAUUUGGCGGUAUUUUAGUCUAUUCAGAGGAAUCUGUCCUAUAAUUGAUAAUCCACGAUUUUUUAUACCUAUUUUAUUAAUUUACAUAUCGCCGUAGUUUGAAUAUUUUUUGAAAAAAAUAAUAUUCAUAAUUUAUUUAAUAAAAAAAAUCAGGUCAAGGUGUAGUUUAUAUAUAGGAAGAGAUGGGUUACAAUAAAAGUAUUUAUUAUGGAUUAAUUAAUUAAAUUUUUUUAUGAAGGUGGAUUUGAAAGUAAUUUUAUUUA